UGGUGGAGACAUUUCCAGCUCCACCAAUGAGUUCAUUGAGGCUAUCCUCGGAACCAUUGGAGUGGAUGCUCUACCCAUCUCCCCACCUCCACCCUCAGUUCCCCAGACCUUUUUUAUUUUUUUUUUUAAACCAUGCUUGUUACUGAUCUUUCCCCCCCGACUCACCAUCAGGUUUUGAAGCAGCUCUGCAAGGCGGCAGAGAUACUGGAAGCAAAUGACAGAGGGCUGAACGCUGGACACAGAUGCUUUCCAGCUUACUGCUCAUCGACUUUGCCCUUGGCAAUCCCUGGAAUUUUGCCUGGACUGGGAGCCAUCGCUGGAUGGGAAAGGUGUCUCUUCUGUCUGUAUCUAGCAACUGUGACGUCCUCUGUGCUCCCUCCAUUACCCACAUGGUCUCCUGGUCGAGAACCUGGACUCCUCCCCCCUGAAGCAACCAUUUAAGUUACUGCCGUCACCCUGCAAUAAACCUCAGUCGGGGCGUACAGGACCCCACCACCGUGGGUGCGGAGGAGCAGCACUGCCACGCUGGGCCUUGAGUGGUCAGCCGUCCCCUCUGCAGUUUCCCUUUUCAGUUUCAGUCACCUGCAUUAACCAUGGUCCAAAAAUAUAAAAAGGAAAAUUCCAGAAAUAAACAAUUCAUAAACUUCAA